GGUUUCGUUUACUUCCUUUCCUUUUCUUUUUUUUUUUUUUUAAUCUGAAAUUUAACUGAAAAUAUGUCGUUAAAAGAAGCAGGAAGAUUUGAGUUUAUAUAGCUUAAUUAAAACUGAAAAAUUAACAUAAUGACACUAGCAUCCAUACUUAAUCCAACAACUACAAUUUAUAUAUAUAUAUAUAUAUAUGUAUAUAUUCAAUUAGAAUGAAGCUCAUAAACGGCUGGUUAAUUACAACUGGGUUAAAUCAUGCAUCUUGAUAAAAGAUUAUUGGGGAAUUUGGCCCAAUACCCCUCUUUUAGAGGGGUUAAUGAAAUAUACCCCUUUCAUUUCAAAUGUUUUUGUUUUACCUUUUUAUUUUUCAAUAUACCCAAAUUACUCUUUUGAAAAGUGCCAUGGACGGAGCACGAAGAAAAGAGGAAGAGAAAGUGAGAGAAAAUGGGCAAAGCAGCUACUGGAGAGUGCUUCAGGAGGACGGACGAGUGGAGGAAGCACCCUAGGCUCACCAAUCAGCUCCGCCACGCCUUUCCUGGUUUUGGCCUCAGAGUCGCCGCCUUAGGCGUCUACCUAGACGGUGAGCAGCAACCAAACGUACCAUCUAAAGAUUGAAUUCAUCAAAACCAUCAUCGAUUUUUGGUGCAAACUUUGAAUUCGAAUCUUCGAGACCGAAAAUGAUGCUGAAUCUUGGAAAAUCUCUCACUGGGCAAUGAGUUACAGAAGGUAAUCUUUAUAUUUGUUUUAAAAGGCAAUGUACCCAGGUGGUUAUACUACAGAAGUUACAAGCUUAUCUCCAAAAGCAACAAAAAAGGAUAUUUAUGAUUUUUUUCACUUAUUGUGAUGUAACUGAGGAUGUUGAAAUCAUCAGGUCUGGUGAGUAUGCCUAUACUGUAUAUGUGACAUUCAAAGAUGCUUAGGCUCUAGAAACCACUGUCUUACUUAGUAUACCUUGUUGUUUACACUCAUCUAAAAUGAGUACUCAUCUACAUGAGCUAAGAAAAUAAAAUUGUGAGGGUAUAACUGAACAGUCAAUCCCCUUGCCUUUCCUCUCAUUCAUUUUUGUACAAUGGAGUAGAAAAUAAACAAAGAAAUUUUGGUUUUUUAGUUCUAGUCUAUUUUCCACUUUUUCUUCUUCUUCUUCUUCUUUUUUUCAUGUUCUUUUACACCAGUGCUUGCAAAUGAAAUCCAUUUAUUGAUGACUGAUGAUUUAUGGAUUUCUCAUAGUAAUCCCACUUCAAAGGUUUCGAGCCUAUAGUAUAACAAAGUUUAGUUUUCAUUAGGUGUCAAUAUUCCCCUUGAAUUGAAUUGUUGAACUGUUAAGUAUUUUUAACAUCAACUCUUUAAUUUGACGAGAUUGCUAUUGAUUGGAGAUAUGGUGGAUCAAUUGAUUUGCUUUCUCUUUCCUUAAUUCCUUGUAAUGAUAUGCCGGGGUGCAACCAUUGCAGAUCAGCGAGUAUGCAUAACACAUUAGGGAAUAUAAACGGAUGAAGAUGAUAGUUGGAAUAGUAGUCCAUGGAACCAUAAGGGCAAUAGUGGUUCAUUGGUAACAAAUCAAUAGAAAUAAUUUCCAUUGGAUGGGAAAGAUGGGUGCAUCACUUCACAAGUCUUCGAGAGGACAGGCAAUAGGGUUAAAACCUCCAUACCUUAUGCAUAUCUUAGUUAUGCAGCCCUUGUUUGGGAUGUUUGGAUAUGGAGGACCUAUUGCAUCUAUGCAUCUAGGAAGGCAUGCGCUUGUUUCUUCGAAGACAAAGAAUUCCAAGAAAGUAUAAAUGUUACAUCUUGAGAGAGAAGCCUUACUCGGUAGUUCUGACAGUGAACAUACUUGGAUGAUAGUUACGUUGCAUACCAGUUUCUUGAUCUGUCAGAGGGCCAUAUUUUUUAAUGCUUUUAUCUGAUUUCUCUUACAUCUUUGCAAUAGAACCACCCAACGGUUUUCAAUCUCUUGUACUAAUGGACAACUUCAUUUCCAUUUUAGACUGAUGAUGGUAUCAAAAAUCCCUCAGAAGCUGAAAUUAGGGACACACCCCACGGAUAACUACUCUGUUUCUAUUAUUUUAUACUUUUGGCAUGGUCAAAUUGAGACAGUAUGUGUAUCAAAUAAAUUUAUUAAGAUGUAUACUUUUGUAGGAGCUGUAAUAUUCUCUAGUUUUUAUUCAUAAAACACUUGUACAAUUUCCUCUUGCUAAUUCAGAUUUUGUUUUUAGUUUUUGUACAUGAUUCUCGUGUCAAUAUGAUGUGUAAGGAUCCAAUUUCAUUAUUAAAUUCUCCAUAUUAUUUGA